rnacentral:rRNA from 1 species
UGGGGAAUAUUGCACAAUGGGCGAAAGCCUGAUGCAGCAACGCCGCGUGAGUGAUGAAGGCCUUCGGGUUGUAAAGCUCUGUCUUUUGGGACGAUAAUGACGGUACCAAAGGAGGAAGCCACGGCUAACUACGUGCCAGCAGCCGCGGUAAUACGUAGGUGGCAAGCGUUGUCCGGAUUUACUGGGCGUAAAGGAUGCGUAGGCGGAUUUUUAAGUGAGAUGUGAAAUACCCGGGCUUAACUUGGGUGCUGCAUUUCAAACUGGGAAUCUAGAGUGCGGGAGAGGAGAAUGGAAUUCCUAGUGUAGCGGUGAAAAUGCGUAGAGAUUAGGAAGAACACCAGUGGCGAAGGCGAUUCUCUGGACCGUAACUGACGCUGAGGCAUGAAAGCGUGGGUAGCAAAACAGGAUUAGAUACCCUGGUAGUCCACGCCGUAAACGAUGAGUACUAGGUGUAGGAGGUAUCGACCCCUUCUGUGCCGCAGUUAACACAAUAAGUACUCCGCCUGGGAAGUACGAUCGCAAGAUUAAAAACUU